AGUGAACGCUGGCGGCAGGCCUAAUACAUGCAAGUCGAACGGCAGCACAGCAGAGCUUGCUCUGUGGGUGGCGAGUGGCGGACGGGUGAGGAAUACGUGGGAAUCUGCCCAGUCGUGGGGAUAACGUAGGGAAACUUACGCUAAUACCGCAUGCGCCCUUCGGGGAAAGCCGGGGACCUUCGGGCCUGGCGCGAUUGGAUGAGCCCACGUCGGAUUAGCUAGUUGGCGGGGUAAAGGCCCACCAAGGCGACGAUCCGUAGCUGGUCUGAGAGGAUGAUCAGCCACACUGGAACUGAGACACGGUCCAGACUCCUACGGGAGGCAGCAGUAGGGAAUAUUGGACAAUGGGCGCAAGCCUGAUCCAGCCAUGCCGCGUGAGUGAAGAAGGCCCUCGGGUUGUAAAGCUCUUUGUCCGGAAAGAAAAGGACGCCGGGUUAAGUACCCCUGGUGUCCUGACGGUACCGGAAGAAUAAGCACCGGCUAACUUCGUGCCAGCAGCCGCGGUAAU
rnacentral:rRNA from 1 species